rnacentral:rRNA from 1 species
CAUGCAAGUCGAACGGAGCUAUUAGACGGAAGCCUUCGGGCGGAAGAUUAAUAGCUUAGUGGCGGACGGGUGAGUAACGCGUGAGUAACCUGCCUCUCAGAGGGGGAUAACGUUCUGAAAAGAACGCUAAUACCGCAUAUAAUCAAGAAACCGCAUGAUUUUUUGAUGAAAGGAGCAAUCCGCUGAGAGAUGGACUCGCGUCUGAUUAGCUAGAUGGUGGGGUAACGGCCUACCAUGGCGACGAUCAGUAGCCGGACUGAGAGGUUGAACGGCCACAUUGGGACUGAGACACGGCCCAGACUCCUACGGGAGGCAGCAGUGGGGGAUAUUGCGCAAUGGGGGAAACCCUGACGCAGCAAUGCCGCGUGAAGGAAGAAGGUUUUCGGAUUGUAAACUUCUUUUGUUAAGGACGAAGAAUGACGGUACUUAACGAAUAAGCUCCGGCUAACUAUGUGCCAGCAGCCGCGGUAAUACAUAGGGAGCAAGCGUUAUCCGGAUUUACUGGGUGUAAAGGGUGCGUAGGCGGCUAAGCAAGUCAGAUGUGAAAUACACGGGCUCAACCCGUGAGCUGCAUUUGAAACUGUUUAGCUUGAGUGAAGUAGAGGCAGGCGGAAUUCCCGGUGUAGCGGUGAAAUGCGUAGAGAUCGGGAGGAACACCAGUGGCGAAGGCGGCCUGCUGGGCUUUAACUGACGCUGAGGCACGAAAGCGUGGGUAGCAAACAGGAUUAGAUACCCUGGUAGUCCACGCUGUAAACGAUGAUUACUAGGUGUGGGUGGACUGACCCCAUCCGUGCCGCAGUUAACACAAUAAGUAAUCCACCUGGGGAGUAC